CAGCAGCCGCGGUAAUACAGAGGGUGCGAGCGUUAAUCGGAUUUACUGGGCGUAAAGCGUGCGUAGGCGGCUUCUUAAGUCGGAUGUGAAAUCCCUGAGCUUAACUUAGGAAUUGCAUUCGAUACUGGGAAGCUAGAGUAUGGGAGAGGAUGGUAGAAUUCCAGGUGUAGCGGUGAAAUGCGUAGAGAUCUGGAGGAAUACCGAUGGCUAAGGCAGCCAUCUGGCCUAAUACUGACGCUGAGGUACGAAAGCAUGGGGAGCAAACAGGAUUAGAGACCCCUGUAGUCCCUGUCUCUUAUAC
rnacentral:rRNA from 1 species